CCUGAUCCAGCAAUGCCGCGUGUGUGAAGAAGGCCUGCGGGUUGUAAAGCACUUUCAGUAGGGAAGAAAAGCUCGGGGUUAAUACCCCCGGGUCUUGACGUUACCUAAAGAAGAAGCACCGGCUAACUCCGUGCCAGCAGCCGCGGUAAUACGGAGGGUGCAAGCGUUAAUCGGAAUUACUGGGCGUAAAGCGCACGCAGGCGGUCGGAUGAGUCGGAUGUGAAAUCCCUGGGCUUAACCUGGGAACUGCAUUCGAUACUGUCUGGCUUGAGUAUGGCAGAGGGAAGCGGAAUUUCCGGUGUAGCGGUGAAAUGCGUAGAUAUCGGAAGGAACAUCAAUGGCGAAGGCAGCUUCCUGGCCCAAUACUGACGCUCAGGCGCGAAAGCGUGGGGAUCAAACAGGAUUAGAUACCCUGGUAGUCCACGCCGUAAACGAUGAGAACUAGAUGUUGGGAGAGUUUUCCCCCUCAGUGUCGCAGCUAACGCGCUAAGUCCCC
rnacentral:rRNA from 1 species